rnacentral:rRNA from 1 species
GACGUAGGGCGCGAGCGUUGUCCGGAUUUAUUGGGCGUAAAGAGCUCGUAGGCGGUUCGGUAAGUCGGGUGUGAAAACUCUGGGCUCAACUCAGAGACGCCACCUGAUACUGCCGUGACUGGAGUCUGGUAGGGGAGUGUGGAAUUCCCGGUGUAGCGGUGAAAUGCGCAGAUAUCGGGAGGAACACCAGUGGCGAAGGCGGCACUCUGGGCCAGUACUGACGCUGAGGAGCGAAAGCGUGGGGAGCGAACAGG